ACUACGGGAGGCAGCAGUAGGGAAUAUUGCUCAAUGGGGGAAACCCUGAAGCAGCAACGCCGCGUGGAGGAUGAAGGUUUUAGGAUUGUAAACUCCUUUUUUGAGAGAAGUUAAUGACGGUAUCUCACGAAUAAGCACCGGCUAACUCCGUCCCAGCAGCCGCGGUAAUACGGUGGGUGCAAGCGUUACUCGGAAUCACUGGGCGUAAAGAGUGCGCAGGCUGGAUUGUAAGUCAGAUGUGAAAUCCUGUAGCUUAACUACAGAACUGCAUUUGAAACUAUGAGUCUAGAGUGUGGGAGAGGUAGGUGGAAUGCUUGGUGUAGGGGUAAAAUGCGUAGAUAUCAAGAGGAAUACUCAUUGCGAAGGCGACCUACUGGAACAUUACUGACGCUCAUGCACGAAAGCGUGGGGAGCAAACAGGAUUAGAUACCCUGGUAGUC
rnacentral:rRNA from 1 species